GUGCGGCGAUAAAACUACCGAACUGUCCCGCUAUUUUUCUCCCCGCGGUAAUUGUUUCAGAAACCCAAAGGCGCCGAUCCUCUCUUUGUGUCUUCCACCCAUUUUUCCUACAUCUAUUGUGAGCCUCCACCACCAAUAAAUCACCAGCCGUGCCUAGCCAUCCUGCCUUCACCACCGAAACAGAGGAAAAUCCCCUUCGUCAGUCCAUCACGGCCUUCACGUCGAAAAUGGUCUGAGAAAACAACAACGUCGUGUGCCGCACGCCGUCGCCUCCUCACCUAGGCGGCUGCCCAAUCGUGUCCCACCGUCGCUCACGGCUUCUCCACUCGGUCCCUAUUUCAGCAAGCUAUCUCCUCUCCUUUCAAUCUGUGUGUGCAUCGAGUGCCUUGAUAUAUUUUGGAGAAAUUGAUGGGGAAAGUACAAUGACAGAGCAUAGUGCAACUAGUAGGCAGAUUUUUGUGGCAAGUUGCAGAUUAUUGAAUCUGAGAUUUUAGUUGUAACUAAUAAAGAGAUUGACUUUGAGAAUUUGUAAAUUAAUGCAGUCUUGAACUUUGUCAUUAAUGAAUUUAUUUCUGCAUGGAUCCUGUAAUACCAAGCAUUUUGCCAAACUAUACAUGUAACUGCCUUUUUCCAUUAAUAUGAGAUACUCAUGGACGAUUGAUGAUCAAAUCAAUAGGUGAUGAUUUGUUUGUACAGAUAUUUUACAGCUCUGUAUCGGGACUAUCUAUUGCAGAA